GUCGCCACUCCCGCCGCCACGGGGUCGCCGGCCGCCGCCGUGCUGCCUCCUCCCCUCAGGAGGCGGCAGCGCCCUGGCCGUGCCCCGGGGCGGAGUGGCCCGGGAGGAGAGAGUCCGCUUCCCGCCUCUCCCUUUCUGCGUUCCCCCUCCCCGGCGGGUUUCGCACGGCGUGGCCUGGCCGCGUUGAGGCCCCUAAAUCGACAUCCCCGUGGGUUGUCAGGGGCCGUGAGGGCUGGCGGGGGUGGCCACGACGGGAAGGGGGCUCGAGGGCGGCGGUCAGGGAGCGGGAGGAGCCCUGGCCUGGGGGCACCCGCGGGGAGCAGCCCGAGGGCCAUGGCGGGAGGGCCUGAGGGGACCCGUCGAGUCAGUUCGGUUUCAUGUCACUCGGGCUUGUCUCUUGGGGUCUGCGGUAGCCAGAGAACGUCUGCAGGGCCCCUGGUGCCUUUGAAGGAGUCUAAAGAUGGGGAAAGAGCAGGAGGUGGCAGGAAGGCAAGGGCCGAGCUGGCCUGAAGCUGCAUCGUGAAGGACGGCGGGGUUGGUUGAAGUCUCCAAAAAGAAGCCUGAGGAGUCAAAGUAUGUGUGGGAUUUCCUAAGUCCUCAGUAAAGAUCUUCGGUGAGAUAUCACAGGAGUCGGAAUAUCAGCAGCCUCCAGAGUCUGUAAAGGCUGCGUGGGACAGAGCCGGGUCUAGGGAGCCGGGUCUAGGGAGCCGUGUCGGAGCACUCGCCUCUUGGCACCGCCGCUGUUAGGGAGCUGGUACAGCCCAUGUUGCUGGGAGCUGAGGUUUGGCUCUGACAGCGGCUCCGGUGAUAAAGCAUUUUACCUCAUCUAGAAAUCAUAAUCAUCACAAAACUUUAAAAUGCUCUUCUGUAUUUCAUAUUUUAUGUUAAACAUUGUUAUAAGUUUAAUAGCUUAGUGUAUAAAAAGGAUAUGAUUACAUAAAACAGAAGCAUUACCGUAGAGAUUGAUUUUGAAAUGUUUGUCGAUGAAGUGCAAUUACAAGGCGGUUUUAAAAUAAUUCUGAGUGCAGAUGAACUGACAGUGAGCUUUUAAUAUUUUUGCACGCUGAGAAAACUUAUUUACACUAGAGGGGAAUCUGGUUCACGAGAAAAAUUCUACUUUUAUAAUUGAUUACAUUGUUUUCAUUUAAUCUGUGUUGUUUUACAGCUUUAUAUAAAAUAUAUUCUUUUAUUUUGUUGGG